rnacentral:tRNA from 1 species
GCGCCCGUAGCUCAGCUGGAUAGAGUAUCGGACUUCGAAUCCGCAGGUCGCACGUUCGAAUCGUGUCAGGCGCA